rnacentral:tRNA from 1 species
AAGACACUAGUAAAAUUCUAUUACACUGCCUUGUCAAGGCAAAGUUGUGGGUGGAACCCCCGCGUGUCUUG